rnacentral:rRNA from 1 species
UACGGAGGGUGCUAGCGUUGUUCGGAAUCACUGGGCGUAAAGCGCGUGUAGGCGGCCCAUCAAGUCUGAUGUGAAAGCCCGGGGCUCACCCCCGGAAGUGCAUUGGAAACUGUUGGGCUGGAGUCCCGGAGAGGAGGGUGGAAUUCCUGGUGUAGCGGUGAAAUGCGUAGAUAUCAGGAGGAACACCGGUGGCGAAGGCGGCCCUCUGGACGGUGACUGACGCUGAGACGCGAAAGCGUGGGGAGCAAACAGG